GAAUAGCCCCGAUGGCAGGAAGUAUCCUUUUUAGGGCUGCAGAACAAAUACACAGUAGUAAUUCAAAAGUAGUUCCGCACUAAAAAGAUACUCCGUACAGCGGGAGGAUUA
rnacentral:sRNA from 1 species